AUUGCUUACUAGUCUUCCAGCUAAUAUCAAGUGGCAUCUGUUCUAAUCUGUUUAAUAUCUCAAAUGUCCUCUAUCUUAGGAAAACAUAUUAAGUCAUUUUUGGAGCAGGGAGAUGAAAUGGGGGACUUGUUUCAUCCAAACUAUGCAUUGACCUGGUAUUGCAGUUCCUCCAGGAGUGUUGCACCCUGU
rfam:Tupaia chinensis contig233094, whole genome shotgun sequence.